rnacentral:rRNA from 1 species
CAGUCGCCGCGGUAAUACGGAGGGUGCAAGCGUUAAUCGGAAUUACUGGGCGUAAAGCGCACGCAGGCGGUCUGUCAAGUCAGAUGUGAAAUCCCCGGGCUUAACCUGGGAACUGCAUUUGAAACUGGCAGGCUAGAGUCUUGUAGAGGGGGGUAGAAUUCCAGGUGUAGCGGUGAAAUGCGUAGAGAUCUGGAGGAAUACCGGUGGCGAAGGCGGCCCCCUGGACAAAGACUGACGCUCAGGUGCGAAAGCGUGGGGAGCAAACAGGAUUAGAUACCCGAGUAGUCCCUGUCUCUUAUAC